GCAGGUAGAUUUCUGCAGGUGAUAGGCCUUGGAGCCGCAGCGGCGGCACAGAGUGUGCGUCUUAUUGCGACGCUUUCCAAAAGACGACGUACCCUUCGUCUGGAGAAGAGGAAAAAACAGUUAACAUCUCAGGGGGCGAUAACAUCUAAGAGCUCAGAGCGCCAAACCACAUCACGUCGAGUCAGCGUCUGGGAACGCGUCACGUGGUUUCCCAAACUGCGGAAACUUCAGUAUGACAUUGUCACACGUUCAACGAUGGCCAUUCUCCAGAUCUGGUAACUCCUGUAGACGGUAUAUGUAAAUAUGCAUGUUGUACGUAAACUCGUUUGUUUCUCUUUAUUGUCAAGCUGAAGUUAGACCAGUUCAGUGCUAACUGACAUUAGAAAGAUAGCAGUGGUUCCCCUGGAACCAUUACAAGGGAGACCAGCAUAGUUAGGUCUCCUCUGGCCUAAUGCACUGGUCCUGAAAUGGCGAGUUGAUUCAGAGAAAACUCUCAACUGUGCUGGAACCAUUAUAACGCUGUUGAAUCCUCUAUCAGAACCAGCAGUCGAAAGUAUAAACAAGGGCCAGCUUCUCCACAACAAUUACCCUGCUGAACUCUACACUACACCAUUAGGCCAUGUAUUAUUAUCUGUACAUGGUAUAUUAUCCAUGGAUCCUUCCAUCUAUUCUAAUAGGUCAGAAGGUGUUCUUUAACUCUGAUAGUAGUUCAUUCAUUCAUUCAUCUUCAGUAACUGGUGAAUCUGGAGUCUAUCCUGGGAACACUGCUGGAGAGGCAGCAAUACGCCUUGGGGCACUAUGUACACACAUCACACACUCAUUCUCCCUAGGGGCAAUUUAUUAUAGCCAAUCCACAUACCGGCAGGUUUUCUGGGAGGCGGGAGGACACAGAGGAACCCAGAGGAAACCCACACAGACACACAGAAGAACAUGCUAAACUCCACACAGAUGGCAGCCCGAACUCAGGAUCCAAUCAGGAGAGCCUUCAGGACAGAGGAUUUUGCACUUCCUGGUUACUCCGUAACAUGACAUGCUACACUUUUGGUUGUUUUUUUUUAUUUGUCUUAUCAAGAGAGAGAGGGGGGAAAAAAACUCGUCUCAUGGAUAUGCGACAUUAAACGUAUAUAGAAAUGAUUAAAUGUAUGUCGAAUCAUUCAUUAAUCAAUUAAAAAUUGUACUCAUUGGCAAAUUGUUGUGGAAUAAGAGGAAUAAAAUACUUCAAGACA